rnacentral:rRNA from 1 species
UGGGGAAUUUUGGACAAUGGGGGAAACCCUGAUCCAGCCAUCCCGCGUGUGCGAUGAAGGCCUUCGGGUUGUAAAGCACUUUUGGCAGGAAAGAAACGUCGCGGGUUAAUACCCCGCGAAACUGACGGUACCUGCAGAAUAAGCACCGGCUAACUACGUGCCAGCAGCCGCGGUAAUACGUAGGGUGCAAGCGUUAAUCGGAAUCACUGGGCGUAAAGCGUGCGCAGGCGGUUCGGAAAGAAAGAUGUGAAAUCCCAGAGCUUAACUUUGGAACUGCAUUUUUAACUACCGGGCUAGAGUGUGUCAGAGGGAGGUGGAAUUCCGCGUGUAGCAGUGAAAUGCGUAGAUAUGCGGAGGAACACCGAUGGCGAAGGCAGCCUCCUGGGAUAACACUGACGCUCAUGCACGAAAGCGUGGGGAGCAAACAGGAUUAGAUACCCUGGUAGUCCACGCCCUAAACGAUGUCAACUAGCUGUUGGGGCCUUCGGGCCUUGGUAGCGCAGCUAACGCGUGAAGUUGACCGCCUGGGGAGUACGGUCGCAAGAUUAAAACUU